rnacentral:rRNA from 1 species
ACGAACGCUGGCGGCGUGCUUAACACAUGCAAGUCGAACGGAAAGGCCCUGCUUUUGUGGGGUGCUCGAGUGGCGAACGGGUGAGUAACACGUGAGUAACCUGCCAUUGACUUUGGGAUAACUUCAGGAAACUGGGGCUAAUACCGGAUAGGAGCUCCUGCUGCAUGGUGGGGGUUGGAAAGUUUCGGCGGUUGGGGAUGGACUCGCGGCUUAUCAGCUUGUUGGUGGGGUAGUGGCUUACCAAGGCUUUGACGGGUAGCCGGCCUGAGAGGGUGACCGGCCACAUUGGGACUGAGAUACGGCCCAGACUCCUACGGGAGGCAGCAGUGGGGAAUAUUGCACAAUGGGCGGAAGCCUGAUGCAGCAACGCCGCGUGCGGGAUGACGGCCUUCGGGUUGUAAACCGCUUUCGCCUGUGACGAAGCGUGAGUGACGGUAAUGGGUAAAGAAGCACCGGCUAACUACGUG